AGCCAGAGGGACUUUCCUGCCAAUCUGUACCAUUGACCAGCCUGUGGAAAAGGGACCAUCUUACCAGCCUGUUGCAGAGGAACCAGCCAUAUGGUGGUGGCAAGUCACAUGAUUAUGCCUCUUGCUGUGGCUAGGCAACGGGAGUCCGGCACGGAUCUUGGUGUGAGCGCUGGAGGGCGCAUGUCGCGGUGGGGUGACGUCAUCGGGAGUGGACGGACGCCCGGAGCCUGGCGGCAGGAGGAGGCGUGCAUUCACUUGCAACUGAGGAGAGAAAAGGCCAUGAAAGAAGAAUUUUCGAUCAUUACCAUCCCCAAUGCCCCCAUUGAUUCAAAUUUCUGAAUCAACCAAUGAAAUAAAAUUAACUUAUGAAUCAA